UACGAAAGGUGCAAGCGUUACUCGGAAUCACUGGGCGUAAAGCGCACGUAGGCGGACUUACAGGUCAAUUGUGAAAUACCUGGGCUCAACCCAGGAACUGCAGUUGAAACCGUUUGUCUUGAAUACCUGAGAGGGUGGGGGAAUACCUGGUGGAGAAGUGAAAUUCGUAGAGAUCAGGUGGAACACCGGAGGCGAAGGCGCCUGCCUGGCAGUGUAUUGACGCUGAGGUGCGAAAGUGCGGGGAGCAAACAGG
rnacentral:rRNA from 1 species